UACGUAAGUGGCAAGCGUUGUCCGGAUUUACUGGGCGUAAAGAGCGCGCAGGCGGUCGUUCAAGUCGAGUGUGAAAGCCCCCGGCUCAACUGGGGAGGGUCACUCGAUACUGAUCGACUCGAAGGCAGAAGAGGGAAGCGGAAUUCCCGGUGUAGUGGUGAAAUGCGUAGAUAUCGGGAGGAACACCAGUGGCGAAGGCGGCUUUCUGGUCUGCUCUUGACGCUGAGGCGCGAAAGCUAGGGUAGCAAACGGG
rnacentral:rRNA from 1 species